CCCGCGCCUUGUCCUUUCUCUGUGGCACCUAUUAGGCUGGUGGGGGAGGGGAGAGGGAACAUGGCCUAGGUGUUGAGGCCUUAGAGCGGCAAGGGCUUUGUGAAGGACAAAAUGGCGAUGGCGGGCCGUGCCGACUGGCCUUUCUGUGAUGAGAACAUUUUCACAGACCUGUACUGAGCUCCGUGAGGAUAAGGAACUCUGAGGAGACCGGCCUGGCACAGCCGACGCCGCCUUAGCUUCGGAAAACGCAGCUUUGGCGAGAUAAUCCGAGGUCUGACCUAAGGUUCUUUUGUCUGCAGGGUUUGGGCGCGCAUCGAACUCUGAAGGGUCGGGAAGGCCUGUCGUUGGAAUGUGGUUGAGUUCCAGGGAGUGUACAGGCUGGAGGAUGGGACAAGACCUAUCUCUGUAUCGAUCAAGCACGGCGUUGGUGUUCCAGGUGGGCAUACGAUGCUUUAUGCCAUUAUGGGUAUGAGCACAGCGCCUGGUUGGGACUUGCUCGUUCAGGUUGCACUGGCCACUCCAUGAUGAACGGUAAAAUGACAAGCAUAUGCCUGAACUCAAAAAAGUGAUGUCAUCUUAACUACUGAGAAGUGGGCGGGGAGUACUCGAGGCUUUUUAAUGGUUGUUCUUAAGUACAUUAAAUGCCUCCCUUUUCUGUCUUCAGCUCAUCACCAAUCCUAAGGAAUUCAAGUGCCUCCCAGGAUGAAUACAGGUUGUCUUGAUGGUGAUACAUUCAUCUGUCUUAAGAUCCCUGCUGAUCUGCUCAUGGUCAAACUCAUGGAAAGAGUUGAGAGUGGGGCACCUUGUUCCUGCAUCCUCAAAGGAGCAUCUUGUUCCAGAGUUAAAAGGUUCCAGAGUUAAAAGGUACCUGUACCAUUUAGCGGCUUGUUCACUCAAAGAUCCAUCUUUUCUGGAGCCUGAGGAUGAUUGGAGGUAAAUCUGUUUAUCUAUGGCUGCUAUGUAAAGUUUGCCAGUUUUUGUGUGACACUUUGGAUAGUUGUGCAGGUAUUACUUAAUCCAAAGUCUGCCUUUGGCCAUUUGUGAACCACCUGAAACAGAUUUCUGCUCACAUGAUGAGUUUGAUACCGCCCCAGUCUGAUCACUAUGACUGAAAGGUAUUUUCUGAGCUGUGAGUUUGCCUUAGAGUGGGAAGUUAGUCUUUUUAUAAAAUGUCUGUUGAGACCUACACAGCCUAUUAGGGUGUCCCAUUCCUCUGGGAAUGGUUGACUUAGUUCCCAAUCUCUGUUUUGCAGGUGAAAGGUGUAAGCCAUACUCUGCUCAACUCCAGUCUGAAACUAAGGUUAGUAAAUUUAAAUGCAUUGAGGAUGGAGUUAAAAUUUCCCUAUGAAGAAACAUUCACACGUCUUACCUCCUGUCCUAGUCCCAGAGCCUGUAAAGGUGAACCCACUGGGGCUGGCUGGGGGAAAAGAGGAAGGCUUGUUCCAGAAGGAACUGUCUGAGGGAAUCUUAAGAAUUUCUAAAUUUGGGGAAGGGAUAAAUUAUUCACUGAAAAUGAGUUUUUUUGUUUGUUUCCAGGUUUAAAGAAAGAACACGUACUUAACACACGGGUAAGUAAGUAUCCAUUCACGUACUUGUGUUAAAUAUCAGACUAACUAUAUAAAUACAAUGUUCUAAGUCCGUUUUAGUAAGAACCCUAAACUGUUCUUUUUCUCUGCAGGAAUCCAACUCUUGGAGGACAUCAGAAGUGGAAUUUUCUUAUACAACCUACCUAUUCAAAUUAGCAUAUAAUCUUUCUAGCCUUUCUAAAUAAAUAAAGGGAUUUUUUUGUAAACCUUGACUGCUUCUGUGUUUGGAUGGACUGGACCUAGGUGAGCAGGAGAUAAUAUGAUCCCAGGGAGAUUGUUACUUGCUUUGCCCUACUUAGCAUAACAGUUUGCCGCAUAUUAGUCUAACCCAGGAAAGCAUCCAAAGAGCCUCCUAGACCUUUAAGGAGUUUUCCUUCCUAUCGAUGCUUGGCCUAGUUGUCCUUGCUGGGUUUGAGUGACCCUUUACGGGGAGGAGGAGAACGCCAAAAAGUCCUUUGGAUCAGUCCCAAAGAUGACCAUUUUGUAAAGGUUCUUUAUGUCACAAAGAAUUCAGCGAGAGGAGUUCUCUAGAGGAUGAAGAAAAGCGAAUGCUCCCUCACCGUUGGGGAUGUAAAUUGGCACAACCACCUUGGAAAACAGUAAGGAGGUACCUGAGAAUCCCACUCCUGGGCAUUUAUCUGGACAAAACUAAUUCAAGUAGAUAGACGCACCUGGGUGUUCAUUGCAGCGCCAUUCACAAUGGCCAGACAUGGGAACCUAAAUGUUCAUCUACAGAUGAGAUGGAGAUACGGCACAUACACGUGAGGGGGAUACUGUGUAAAAACUAAUGCCAUUUGCAGCAGCAUAGGUGGAACAUAGGAUACUAAAUGAAGUAAGCCAGAAAGAAAAAGAUAAAUAACAUGUAGCACUUGAAGCUUGUGGAAUCUAAAAUAAUGGGACAGAUGACCCUAUCUAAAAAGACAGCUGAAAACCAAUCACAGCCAAAGCCAGCAGACUUGGGGUUCCCAUGGGGGGAAGAGGGAGUAGGAUGGGUAGGCAUUUGAGUGGGUUUGGGUGCAAACUUAAGUUUGGAAUGGGUGGGCGGUGGGGCCCUACUGUACAGCACAGGGAAAUGUGUAUGUUGGGUCUCUGCCACACAACAGAAUUUGAAACACUGUAAGUCAACCGUACUUUUAACAGUAAAAGGAGUUCCCAUUCUGCUGCAGGACUAGGAACCACAAGGUUGUGGAUUUGAUCCCUGGCCUCAACGAGUGAGUCAUUACCUUAAGCUGGGAUGGGUGUUGCUGGUGUGGCCAUGGCUGUGGUGUAGGCCUGCAGCUACAGCUCUGAUUCAGUCCCUAGCCUGGAAGCUUCCAUAUGCUGCAGGUGUUGCCCUAAGAAAAGCAAGAAAGGAGUUCCCCUCAUGGCUCAGUGGAAAUGAAACUGACUAGUAACCAUGAGAACACAAGUUCGAUCCCUGGCCUCACUCGGUGGGUUAAGGACCCAGGCUUGCUGUGGCUGUGAUGUAGGCUGGUGGCUACAGCUCUGAUUCGACCCCUAGCCUAGGAAGCGCUGUAUGCCACAGGUGCAGCCCUAAGAAGACAAAAAACAAACAAAAAAAAGAAAAGCAAGAAAAUAAUUCAGUGAGAGGAGUUCCUGUCACGGCUCAGUGGAAGUGAAUCUGACUAGGAACCAUGAGGUUUUGGGUUCCAUCCCUGGCCUUGCUCAAUCCGGCGUUGCUGUGAGCUGUGGUGUAGGCUGCAGAUGUGGCUUGGAUCCCGCAUUGCUGUGGCUGUGAUGUAGGCCGGUGGCUACAGCUUCCAAUUAGACCCCUAGGCUGGGAACUUCCAUAUGCCGCAAGAGCAGCCCUAAAAAGACCAAAAAAAAAAAAAAAAAAAAAAAAAAAAUUGAGAGACAAAGGUGUUAGGGGCAAGAAGAUGGAAUGUGGUCCCCAUAGAGCAGCCCUGGAGAAACACCACAGAGUAGGCCACCUCAAGGCUAGAGGCCUGUACCGUAGAACUAGUAGACUUGGACAAAGGCACUAGGAGCCAGUGAGGCUUGGCAAUUAAGGAUAAAAAGAUUAGCUCUUUGGGGGGCAAAGUUUUGUAUGUCUUUUUAGGGCUGUACCUGUGGCACCCAAUGGAGGUUCCCAGGCUAGGAUCGAAUCUGAGCUAUAGCCACGGACCUACUCCACAGCCACAGCGAUGUCAGAUCUGAGCUGCAUCUACCACCUACACCACAGCUCAAGGCAAUGCCAGAUCCUUAACCCACUGAGCAGGGCCAGGGAUCGAACCUGCAUCCUCAUGGAUGCUAGUCAGAUUCAUUUCUGCUGAGCCACAACAGGAACUCUCAUGUGAGGUUUAGAAUACAUUUUGUGGGAGUUCCCUUCGUGCCUCAGUGGUUAACCAACCCCACUAAGGAUCCAUGAGGAUAUGGGUUCAAUCCCUGGCCCUGCUCAGUGGGUUAAGGAUCUGGCGUUGUCAUGAGCUGUGGGGUAAGUUGCAGACACAGCUCAGAUCCUGCAUUGCUGUUGCUGUGGCAUAGGCUGGCAGCUGCAGCUUCAAUUUGACCUCUAGCCUGGGAAUUUCCAUAUGCCUCGGGUGCAGCUCUAAAAAGGGGGAAAAUACAUUUUGGGUCCCCACUAUCGUAAAAUAAAGGCAAUUUCACUGAAAGAAAAUUUAUUUCUUGCUCAUUCAAUGGUAGCCAUACAGAAAAAAAUUGUCAAAAGAAAUUUUACAGCCACAAGAAUGAAAGUAUACGAGUCCUGCUGAGACCCAACGGGUUAAGGAUCUGAGUGUCUGGUAGAUAAUGACUGAAGCCUUUGCUCAAGCACUGUUUUCACCAGGUGGCCCAUACCAAUUCAAAUCAAGACUCAGUUGACUUAAGCCAAGAGAUGGAAGAUAUGGGGAUCUCCCAGCGAGGCUCAGGGUUUAACAAACCCAACUAGUAUCCACGCCCUGGCCUCCCUCAGUGGGUUAAGGAUCCGGCAUUGCCAUGAGCUGUGGUGUAGGUCACAGACACGGCUUGGAUCAAGCGUUGCUGUGGCUCUGGUGUAGAGUGCAGAUGAGGCUCAGAUCUAGCAUUCCUCUGGCUGAGGUGUGGGCCAGCAGCUACUGCUCUGAUUUGACCCCUAGCCUGGGACCUUCCAUGGUGCAUCCUUAAAAAAGCAAAAAAAUAAAAGUACACCCGUCGAAAGAAUAUCCUUCCUUUGGCCUUGCUUUGCUGGUAUCAAUGCCAGUGACUUUCCAUGACCUCUUCCACUUCCCUCCAUCUCUGCCACCACAGCCACCCCCACCCAAGCCACCUUCCCCUCUUGCCUGGAGGAUCACUAGAACCUUCUUAUUUUUCCCCAGUAGAUUUUUUUUUUUUUAAAGGCUGCACCCAUAGCAUAUGAAAAUUCCCAGGCUAGAAUCAGAGUUGCAGCAGCCAGCCCACAGCACAGCUCAUGGCAACAUCAGAUCCUUAACCCACUGAGCAGGGCCAGGGAUCAAACCCACAUUCUCAUGGAUAGUAGUUGGGUUCAUUAUCACUGAGCCACAACGGGAACUCCUGCCCAAUAGACCUUAAAGUCAUGAAGGCAAGAUGCAUGUCUAAUUUUGCUCAUUAUUGUCUGCU
rnacentral:lncRNA from 1 species